UAAAUUUCAUGAUGAGCUAUAUCCCUUACCUACAUUGUUUGAAGAAUUAUGAAAAAAUAACUAGUCUGAGAUUACA
rnacentral:snoRNA from 1 species